UACGGAGGGUGCAAGCGUUAUCCGGAUUCACUGGGUUUAAAGGGUGCGUAGGAGGGCAGGUAAGUCAGUGGUGAAAUCUCCAAGCUUAACUUGGAAACUGCCGUUGAUACUAUCUGUCUUGAAUAUCGUGGAGGUGAGCGGAAUAUGUCAUGUAGCGGUGAAAUGCUUAGAUAUGACAUAGAACACCAAUUGCGAAGGCAGCUCGCUACACAUAUAUUGACUCUGAGGCACGAAAGCGUGGGGAUCAAACAGG
rnacentral:rRNA from 1 species